UUGGAACGGAUCCUUCGGGUGAAGUUCCAUUUGACUGAGCGGCGGACGGGUGAGUAACGCGUGGGUAACCUGCCUCAUACAGGGGAAUAACAGUUUGAAAAGACUGCUAAUGCCGCAUAAGCGCACAGGGCCGCAUGGCCCGGUGUGAAAAACUCCGGUGGUAUGAGAUGGACCCGCGUCUGAUUAGCUAGUUGGUGAGGUAACGGCCCACCAAGGCGACGAUCAGUAGCCGACCUGAGAGGGUGACCGGCCACAUUGGGACUGAGACACGGCCCAAACUCC
rnacentral:rRNA from 1 species